rnacentral:rRNA from 1 species
GUCGAGCGGCAAGGGCCUUCGGGCCCCUAGAGCGGCGGACGGGUGAGUAACACGUGGACAAUCUGCCCCCCGGUCCGGGAUAGCCCAGGGAAACCUGGAUUAAUACCGGAUGAGACGGGACCCGCGGAGGCGGGAUCCGGGAAAGGCGCUGCGGCGCCGCCGGGGGAUGAGUCUGCGUCCCAUUAGCUAGACGGCGGGGUAACGGCCCACCGUGGCGACGAUGGGUAGCCGGCCUGAGAGGGUGGACGGCCACAUUGGAACUGAGACACGGUCCAGACUCCUACGGGAGGCAGCAGCUAAGAAUCUUCCGCAAUGGGCGAAAGCCUGACGGAGCGACGCCGCGUGAACGAAGAAGGCCGUGAGGUUGUAAAGUUCUUUUCGGGAGGGGGAACAACCGUGGCAGGGAAUGGCCGCGGGAUGACGUGAAUCCCGGAAUAAGCCCCGGCUAACUACGUGCCAGCAGCCGCGGUAACACGUAGGGGGCGAGCGUUGUUCGGAAUCAUUGGGCGUAAAGGGCGUGCAGGCGGUCCUGCAAGUCCGGCGUGAAAGACCCCGGCCCAACCGGGGGGACGCGCUGGAAACUGCAGGGCUUGAGUACAGGAGGGGAUGCCGGAAUUCCAGGUGUAGGGGUGAAAUCUGUAGAUAUCUGGAAGAACACCAAUGGCGAAGGCAGGCAUCUGGCCAUGUACUGACGCUGAGACGCGAAGGUGCGGGGAGCAAACAGGUUUAGAUACCCUGGUAGUCCGCACAGUAAACGAUGUGCACCAGGUGGCGGGGGGUCGACCCCCGGUACCGUAGCUAACGCAUUAAGUGCACCGCCUGGGGAGUAUGCUCGCA